CAGGGAAGAGAACGAUUAGCCAGUACAGAACAAUAUGGAGGAUUGGAUCAACUUGUCUUCAGUCCGAAUCUGCAGUUAGAGAAUGUUUAUUUACAAAGCUUGACACUUCACUUUCCAACCUGGAGAUCAAGUGCUCAGGACCUGUCAGGCUGGUUAAUGGACUAGUCCAUGUUCGGCAGACUGGAGGUGAAGUCUAACCAGUCGUGGUCCUCAAUGUGUGAAGAUGACUUUGACCAGCAGGAUGCAGAAGUGGUCUGCAGGGAGCUUGGCUGUGGGCUCCUUCAGUCCUCCAGGGGGCGCUGUAUGGAGAAGCAGGGCCCCCAGUGUGGUCAAAAGAGUUCCAGUGUGGAGGCCAUGAGUCUGCUCUCCGGGACUGUGGAAGCUCAGGCUCAGCUAGAGACACCUGCUCAUCUGGCAAGCUGUUGAACUCACAUGUUCAGAGCCUGAUGACGUCCGGUUGGUUGGAGGGGCCAGCCGCUGUGUCGGUAGACUUGAGAUGAAACGGAAGGGAGAGUGGAGACCAGUAGCUGAGUACUUCCUUAACUGGAACCUGUUGUCCGCAGCUUUAGUUGUAGGCAGCUGGACUGUGGCUCUGCUCUUUCAGCAGAAAGAGUUAUAAGUGAUGAAUUAUACAAACGAGAACCAUGGAUAAUUGCACCUUCCUGUGGUUCGUCUGAGUCUGUAAUCAGAGAAUGUGAUUUAUUAUCGCUCGGGUAUGGUUCUAAUAGAAGGGUUCUAAGCCUGGAAGUCACCUGCUCAGAUAUUCUGGCUCAGCCAAACAUCUCCUUCUCUGCUACACUGACGGGGAUUCUGAGGCCAAGCAGCAGGGGCUUCAGGUGCUCAUGGGCUCCAACUUCACCAUCAGCUGCUCAUCCUGCCACAGUAUCCAGGAGGCUCCUUCCAGCUUAUCUUCACCAACUCCAACACAACACAGAACUACACCCUGCCAGCUGUCAAUCACACUGCCCAUUUCCUGUUCUCUGCUGCA